rnacentral:lncRNA from 1 species
GGAAGUGAAAGGAGAGGAGAGAGAGACGGAGAGAGAGAGAGGGAGAGAAAACACAUUAUCUAGGAUAUGAGAAUCUUUUUCAGUGAGGGGCUUUCAGAAAGGUGACAUGAAAAGACUAAGAAUGCUAAACACAAUUUCCUGCAAGUUAACAACUGCUAAAGGCUGUCCUUGAACUUCACCUGUGGUCUCCUUCAAGCAGGUGCCCAAAGAGUGAACAGAGGACCUGUGAUGUGGCAAGGUUCUCCUUUUCUAUUCAAUGUCUUACCGUGGCUGGCACUUUUCUGGCAAAUCCUCUCCAUCUCCACUUCAACGUUGGAUCAUUUCUCAAGGCUGGAAUAAGCAAUAAAGAGGCGGGCGCUGUGAACGGAGCCAUGAUGGAGACAGAACAGGGACGUGAGAAGGACGUGGAGGCCCUUUAUUUGGGUCCUUCCCCAGUUCCUUCCUCCCAUUCUCCCUUCUUCCUUCAACACUUAUUGUGGUUUCAGUGCCAGAGAUACAAGACGAAGAUUAAUAACAGUCCAUUCAUUUCUGUCCUCAAGGAACUCCUAGCCCAAGGAGAAAAGAGCUAGCCAAAGAUAACUAAAAAGUAAUGCAAGAGAUGAUGUAUCUGGGUUCAAAUGUAAAACUGUGUAUGUGUUUGUGUGUGUGUGUGUGUGUGUGUAUACACAUGAAGAAUUAUGUGCAUGUGGUGGCAUUGUCUAGGGGGAUGGCUUCACUUUGAAGUUGCCCUAUUAGAGGGUACAGGAGCUUUUACUUCAAUUGAGUGAGAUAUGAGAAAGGUUUUUCAAGAAUUCCAAACAGAGGAGGAAGCUUGGGAGAGGCAUCACCAUGAAAGGGUGUCUUAGUGUAUUUAGAGGAAUGAUGAACCAUCUGGGGCAGUUAAGAGGAACAAAGAAGGAACGCCAAGGUAAGGCUGGAAAUGUGAGCCUGUA